UGUAGGCGCACUGUGAAGCCGUGUUCGGACCCCGAAACGAGUAAGGACCCCUCACCCUAUUUCCUAUCACGGUUUUAAAGUUCAAUGAAUGAUAAAACGGUAUUUCAUGAAUCAACGAAUGUGUGAAAUUGCUUAAAGUCGCUAAUGGAGCCCGAGUCUAGUGUGUUUGUCGGUUAACUGUUAUUUGGCAUGUUUACAGUUUUAAAUGCAGUAUGAGAUUUGAUGUUUUCAUUUUAUAGUUUCGUGUGCAUAUUCUACUGUUUUAUUGAUUAUGGAUUGAAUGACCGGGAUAUUGAUGCUGUAUGUUGUCUGUUUGGCAUAAAUUAUCGUUUUGCUUGUUUGUAUGUGAUUGAUAAUGCUGACUGAGGGAAAAGGAGAAUGAAAGAUUAUGUAAAUAGAAAUUGUAUAAUGUGGUCAGCCUGACUAGAUAUUCUGGGAGAUGGUGGACGGACCGGGUCCAUAGGGAACCCUACCAGGAUUGUGGUCUCCCAUACCAGACGGGGUAUGGAGAUCUUAUGUGUUUUGGCGCCCAUACCGGACGGGGUAUGGGGACGGCCCGUUUCACCCUCAUACCGGACGGGGUAAUGAGGUCUAUGGUUUGGCGCUCAUACCGGACGGGGUAUGGGGACGGCCCUGGAAUAUGAUUUCAAGUGUUAAGGGUUAACGGGUAGCGGGACCCCUAUGGAUCCCCAUGGAUACUAGUGGGCUGGUAAAUGAGGAAAAUAUGUUGUGUAACGAUUAAAUUACGAAAAGCUUGAUAGGUAUUAUGUUAUACAGUUCAUAUAUAUGUUUUCAUGAUGAUGAUGAUGUUAUUACUUUCGUAUAUUGUUUUAUGAAUUUCACCGAGGUAAGUGAAUGGUAAAGGUUUUAUUAUUAAUAAAAGGAUUUGUUGUAAAUUAUGCUCCAUUGGUCUUUUUGUGUUUUCUACCCACUUUUACCUCCGUGACGGUGAGAUAUCGUGAUGUCCUUACUGGGCUAGUGUAGCUCAUUCCUUAUUUAAUCAUUUCAGAUCAAGAGGACAUCGUUCCCGAGCCGGUUCCGCAGGAGGACGACGAAGGGGACACCUAAGGACUCCAUAGUCACAUUCGUAGUUUUUACUUUCAAGUUUCCCCUUUAGGUAGUUUAAUCUUUUAUAUUUUGUGAGCACGUUUUUGGUUUUAGUGUAAGAGAUGUUAAUCAAAUUUUGUCUUCGCUUCCGCAUUUGAUAUUUAUAAUAUAAUUUCCAUUUUAAAUUUCCGGGGCUGCUACAGUUGGUAUCAGAGCCAGGUUUCCUCGGACCCAUCCCUUACACAAUAGUGCUUUAGAGAAAUACUCACCGAUAUAUCGUUACUCAAUCAUUCCUUGUAAACGUAGGUAUACGAGAAUGAGGAGAGGAAGGCCCCCACUAAACCGAGCGGCCCCAGAUAAUUCACUUCGGGAGGAUUUAGAUAGACUAUUCGAGAUGGUGGAGGCUCUCGCAGCUGCCCAGCGAAGGCAAGAGGAGAGAAGGGAGUUACCGGGACCUCCUCCGCUAGCGCAGGUUGAGCCCCCGCUACAGCAGGCUGAUCCCGAGCCACCCCGGCAGGAACCUGUUCCUCCACGGUACCACCCGGCACCACAGCCGCGGUACGACCCGGUACCACAGCCACAGUACCAACAGGUGCCGCCACGGCACAUUCCAGUGCCCCCACCACAUCAGCAGGCGCCACUGCAGGGUCCCCCAGUUCACCCUCAGCCGGUCCCAGUCCCUCUACCUCGGGGCCCCGCUCCCUCCUUGAUCGACCCCGGCUUCAUAGAGAGGUACAGAAGACUGAACCCUUCUACUUUUUCAGGGGGAUCCUCUUUCGAAGAGGCCCAAUACUGGCUGGCAGAGACUGAGAGAGCUUUCGAGACCUGGCAAUGCGAGGGAGUGCCCUAGGAACCAGAAUCAAGGGAGGCCUCCAAUCCAGGGCAGAGUUUACAACCUUACCCAGAAGGAUGCCGACGCAGACCCGGACGUGGUACAUGGUAAACCCAAGAAAGAAGUUUGUAUCCAAGAGAUUCCAGUAGUCCGAGACUUUCCAGACGUAUUUCCGGAUGAAUUGUCCGGUCUACCAGGGGACAAAGAGGUCGAGUUCACCAUAGACUUACAGCCAGGAACCCAGCCCAUCUCGGUAGCUCCUUACCGAAUGAGCCGUAUCGAGAUGGAAGAGCUAAGGAAACAAAUCACUGAGCUACAAAACAGUAGCUUCAUUAGACACAACAUUUCCCCAUGGGGUGCCGGGGUUACUUUUGCAAAGAAAGGGGAUGGAACGUUGAGACUGUGUAUUGAUUAUAGAAGGAUAAACAAGGUAACAAUUAAGAACAAACACCCUCUUCCCCGGAUUGAUGACCUUUUCGAUCAGUUGCAGGGUGCACAGGUCUUUUCCAAAAUAGAUCUACGAUCAGGUUACCAUCAGGUAAAAGUGAGAGCCGAAGACAUUCCCAAGACGACAUUCCGAACCAGGUACGGACACUAUGAGUUCCUGGUUAUGCCGUUUGGGCUAACCAACGCCCCGGCCAUCUUUAUGGAUCUAAUGAACAGAAUCUUUAGAGAAUUCUUGGAUCAAUUUGUCAUCGUGUUCAUCGAUGAUAUCUUAGUCUACUCAAAAAGUAGGGAAAAACAUGUUCAUCAUCUUGCCCAAGUCCUACAGGUACUCAGGGAAAAGAAGUUAUAUGCGAAGUUGAGCAAGUGUGGAUUUUGGCUCGAACAAACCGCCUUCCUAGGACAUGUUAUAUCGAAGGAAGGGGUGUCGGUGAACCCCGAAAAGGUUGAAGCGGUACUUGGUUGGGAAAGGCUGACGACAGUUAAGGAAAUUCGCAGUUUCCUAGGGAUGGCAGGUUAUUACCGCCGGUUUGUCGAAGGGUUCUUUAGUCUAGCAGCUCCUCUGACCCGACUCACAAAGAAGAAUGCAAGGUUUGAAUGGAAUGAGAACUGCGAGAGGAGUUUUUCAGAGUUGAAGAAGCGACUGACUACUGCACCAGUGCUGGCUCUACCGAGUGGAUCAGGAGGGUACACAGUUUAUAGUGAUGCCUCCUAUCUAGGCCUAGGUUGUGUCCUAAUACAGCAUGGAAAGGUUAUAGCAUAUGGGUCUAGAUAGCUAAAGAAUCAUGAGAAAAACUAUCCUACCCAUGACUUGGAGCUUGUCGCAAUCAUACACGCCUUGAAAACCUGGCGCCAUUAUUUGUAUGGAGAGACCUUUCAGAUCUACACCGAUCAUAAAAGUUUGAAGCAUAUCUUCACUCAGAAGGAUCUCAACAUGCGUCAGAGAAGGUGGAUGGAACUCCUCAAGGACUAUGAUUGUGACAUCCUAUACCAUCCAGGUAAGGGCAACGUGGUGGCCGAUGCCCUCAGCAGGAAAAGUGCAGACACCCUACCCCAUCUAAUGGUUUCAGAAUGUAGGUCCAUUGGGGCUACACAGCAGGUUCGCCUCCGAGACCUGAAGAGAAUCACAUGUUUGGGCCACCUAGCAGUCCAACCCGAGUUAAUCCAAAGAAUAAAGGAAGCCCAGUCAGUCGACCCCGCCCUAGUAACCCGCAAGAAGAAUGCAGAACAGGGAGUGAGCUCAGAAUUUCAGAUCUCUGCCGACGGAUUGAUUCGUUUCAAGGACAGAGUGUGUGUCCCAGACGACAGUGAGUUAAAAAGAGACAUCAUGACAGAGUCCCAUAGUUCAAGGUUCGCCAUGCAUCCAGGAAGUACGAAAAUGUACCAAACUAUGCGACCUCGGUUCUGGUGGAAUGGGAUGAAGAGAGAUAUAGCCGACUUUGUAUCUAAGUGCUUGGUAUGUCAGCAGGUCAAAGCAGAACAUCAAUGCCCGGGCGGGUUACUUCAGCCUUUACUGAUUCCAGAAUGGAAGUGGGAACAUAUCACCAUGGACUUCGUAUCGGGACUACCCAAGGCACGAUCGGGACAUGAUGCUAUAUGGGUAAUUGUUGACCGACUCACUAAGUCUUCCCACUUCCUGGCCAUCAGAAUGACUGAUCCUUUGGACAAGUUGGCAAGAAUGUAUAUCCGGGAGGUAGUCAGACUGCAUGGAGUUCCAGUAACAGUGGUAUCCGACAGGGAUCCCAGAUUCACUUCUCGGUUUUGGAAUAGUUUCCAGCAAGCUAUAGGAACAAAGCUGUCACUUAGUACUGCUUUCCACCCCCAAACCGAUGGACAAUCAGAAAGGACAAUUCGUACGCUGGAGGAUAUGCUCCGAGCUUGUGUGCUUGACUCCGGGGGCCAUUGGGACGACCACCUACCCCUGAUAGAGUUUGCUUACAACAACAGUUACCAAGCAAGCAUCGGCAUGGCUCUAUACGAGGCGCUAUACGGGCGUCCGUGCAGGUCACCGAUCUGUUGGGAAGAAGUGGGCGAUAGAAGAUUGUUCGGCCCAGAUUUGGUAGAAGAAACCACGUCCAAGAUAGUUAAGAUCAAGAAGAACAUCCAGACAGCUCAGAGUAAGCAGAAGAGUUAUGCUGAUACCCGGAGGAGAGACCUGGCCUUUGAGAAAGGCGACCGGGUGUUUCUUAAAGUCACCCCCUUCAAGGGAAUUAGUAGGUUCGGCAGGAGGAGAAAAUUAAACCCCAGAUAUAUUGGACCCUUUGAAGUCUUAGACAAGAUUGGUACCACUGCCUACAGACUUGCACUGCCUCCUGAGCUCUCCCGGGUUCAUAAUGUGUUUCAUGUAUCUAUGCUACGUAAGUACAAUCCGGACCCUUCUCAUGUCUUGACUCAUGAACCGCUUCCACUCCGAGAGGACUUGUCUUAUGAAGAAGUACCGGUCAGUAUCACGGACCGAGAAAGCAGAAUACUCCGCAACCGGGAAAUAUCAUUUGUAAAAGUCAUGUGGCAGAACCACACGCCCAGGGAGGCGACUUGGGAACUGGAAUCAGAAUUUAGGGCCCAAUAUCCCCAUCUGUUUGAUCAAGAGUAAUGGGGCAAAUUUGGGGACCAAAUUUCUUUAAGGGGGGGAGAGUUGUAGCGCCCGGAAAGGGGCCGAAAAAAAAAAAAAAAACCACGUCGGCAGCCACGUCAGCAGGCCCGGUCAGCAGUCCCGGUCAACCGGGACCUGCCACGUGGCAAGACCACGUCGUUCCGAAAUGGACCACGUUGGCGAUCUGCGUAGGCGCGAUCGGACAGCCCAGAUCAAGCGUGCGAUCGGACGAUCCAGAUUUAAUCGCACGGACGGCCCAGAUUUAAUCAAAAACGGACGGCCCAGAUUAAAACAAAAUGGACGGCUGAGAUCAAAAGGCAAAGGGUUAUAAAUAGAACCCCCACACCAGACCACAAACCCUAGCCGUCUGCCGCUCGCCGGAGAAGACGAACCAGAAGCCGGCCGCCGCCACCCGCCGCCGCACCGGAGGGAUUUCCGACCGCCGAUCGAGGUAAAUUUCAUACCUCCGACUCGUUUUUCCACGCUGAUUUCCUCAGUGGCCAAAUCUGAGCCAAAAUCCUGGCCAAACGGCCGAAAAACACGGCCGAAAGCCAGCGGCGCUGCCGCGUCCCUUCUCGGUUUUUGCCUCCGAUGAUGCCCUUCCCGGCCUCCGUUUAAUGCAAUUUUUAUAUCACCGUGAUCACCAUUCUUUUUUCUACAGGUUGAUUGGAGCCGAAUCACCAAAACACGAACUUCACUGGAGAGCCGCCGCACCCGAGAGCACCGCCGCCGGUAAGCUUCGGUUUUCCGUAAAUUUUCGACCCCCCGAGGGCCGUAGGGUUGUUUUAUCGUAGGAACCAAUGCGAGUGUGGUCGAAAACGACCAACCCGAGGCAAACCACCGUCGCCGGAGCACGGCGGAGCCGCCGUACCGGAGUUGCGAUUUGGGCCAAAAGGGGCCCUCGGCCUAAUUUGGGAUUUUUUUGGAACACGUGCAGGUACCAGUAGUGCGUUUCAGUUCCCCGAGAAAAAUUCAGGAAAAAUUAGGGACAGCCUGUAGGCGCACUGUGAAGCCGUGUUCGGACCCCGAAACGAGUAAGGACCCCUCACCCUAUUUCCUAUCACGGUUUUAAAGUUCAAUGAAUGAUAAAACGGUAUUUCAUGAAUCAACGAAUGUGUGAAAUUGCUUAAGGUCGCUAAUGGAGCCCGAGUCUAGUGUGUUUGUCGGUUAACUGUUAUUUGGCCUGUUUACAGUUUUAAAUGCAGUAUGAGAUUUGAUGUUUUCAUUUUAUAGUUUCGUGUGCAUAUUCUACUGUUUUAUUGAUUAUGGAUUGAAUGACCGGGAUAUUGAUGCUGUAUGUUGUCUGUUUGGCAUAAAUUAUCGUUUUGUUUGUUUGUAUGUGAUUGAUAAUGCUGACUGAGGGAAAAGGAGAAUGAAAGAUUAUGUAAAUGGAAAUUGUAUAAUGUGGUCAGCC
rnacentral:lncRNA from 1 species